UACGGGGGGGGCAAGCGUUGUUCGGAAUUACUGGGCGUAAAGGGCUCGUAGGCGGCCGACUAAGUCAGACGUGAAAUCCCUCGGCUUAACCGGGGAAUGGCGUCGGAUACUGGAUGGCUUGAGUUCGGGAGAGGGGUGCGGAAUUCCAGGUGUAGCGGUGAAAUGCGUAGAUAUCUGGAGGAACACCGGUGGCGAAGGCGGCACCCUGGGCCGAGACUGACGCUGAGGAGCGAAAGCCAGGGGAGCGAACGGG
rnacentral:rRNA from 1 species